UUCUCGGUAGUGUAACGGUUUAGCACGGCUGAUUCUGGUUCAGUCAAUCAGGGUUCGAUUCCCUGCCGAGAAG
rnacentral:tRNA from 1 species